rnacentral:rRNA from 1 species
GACGAACGCUGGCGGCGUGCUUAACACAUGCAAGUCGAACGGUAAGGCCCUUCGGGGUACGCGAGUGGCGAACGGGUGAGUAACACGUGGGUGAUCUGCCCUGCACUUCGGGAUAAGCCUGGGAAACUGGGUCUAAUACCGGAUAGGACCACUGCCUGCAUGGGUGGUGGUGGAAAGCUUUUGCGGUGUGGGAUGGGCCCGCGGCCUAUCAGCUUGUUGGUGGGGGGAUGGCCUACCAAGGCGAGGACGGGUAGCCGGCCUGAGAGGGUGACCGGCCACACUGGGACUGAGGUACGGCCCAGACGCCUACGGGAGGCAGCAGUGGGGAAUAUUGCACAAUGGGCGCAAGCCUGAUGCAGCGACGCCGCGUGAGGGAUGACGGCCUUCGGGUUGUAAACCUCUUUCAGCACCGACGAAGCGCAAGUGACGGUAGGUGCAGAAGAAGGACCGGCCAACUACGUGCCAGCCGCCGCGGUAA